rnacentral:rRNA from 1 species
GAUGAACGCUGGCGGCGGGCCUAACACAUGCGAGUCGAGCGAACAGACGAGGCGCUUGCUCGUCUGACGUUAGCGUCGCAGGGGGGAGUAACACGUGUAUAACCCACCUAGAUGACUGGGAUAACCUCGUGAAACCGGAGCCAAUACCGGAUUAUCUAUUGAACCGCAUGGUUCGGUAGUUAAGGGCGUCUUUGCUUUCACUUAUAGCUGGAUCCGGGCCGUAUUAGCUAGUUGGUAAGGUAACGGCUUACCAAGGCCACGAUGCGUAGCCGACCUGAGAGGGUGAUCGGCCACACUGGAACUGAGACACGGUCCAGACUCCUACGGGAGGCAGCAGUGGGGAAUAUUGCGCAAUGGGCGCAAGCCUGACGGAGCCACGCCGCGUGUAUGAAGAAGGCCUUCGGGUCGUAAAACUCUUUUAUCAGGGAGGAACAAAUGUGUAAGUAAACCUGCACGUAUUGACGGUACCUAAUCAAAAAGCACCGGCUAACUACGUG